ACGGCCAUACCACAUGGAAAACACUGGUUCUCAUCUGAUCACCGAAGUUAAGCAAUGUCAGGCCUGGUCAGUACUUGGGAGGGUGACCACCUGGGAACACCGGGUUCUGUAGGCU
rnacentral:rRNA from 1 species